rnacentral:rRNA from 1 species
AGACCCGAAACCCGGUGAUCUAGCCAUGGGCAGGUUGAAGGUUGGGUAACACUAACUGGAGGACCGAACCGACUAAUGUUGAAAAAUUAGCGGAUGACCUGUGGCUGGGGGUGAAAGGCCAAUCAAACCGGGAGAUAGCUGGUUCUCCCCGAAAGCUAUUUAGGUAGCGCCUCGUGAAUUCAUCUCCGGGGGUAGAGCACUGUUUCGGCUAGGGGGUCAUCCCGACUUACCAACCCGAUGCAAACUGCGAAUACCGGAGAAUGUUAUCACGGGAGACACACGGCGGGUGCUAACGUCCGUCGUGAAGAGGGAAACAACCCAGACCGCCAGCUAAGGUCCCAAAGUCAUGGUUAAGUGGGAAACGAUGUGGGAAGGCCCAGACAGCCAGGAUGUUGGCUUAGAAGCAGCCAUCAUUUAAAGAAAGCGUAAUAGCUCACUGGUCGAGUCGGCCUGCGCGGAAGAUGUAACGGGGCUAAACCAUGCACCGAAGCUGCGGCAGCGACGCUUAUGCGUUGUUGGGUAGGGGAGCGUUCUGUAAGCCUGUGAAGGUGGCCUGUGAGGGUUGCUGGAGGUAUCAGAAGUGCGAAUGCUGACAUAAGUAACGAUAAAGCGGGUGAAAAGCCCGCUCGCCGGAAGACCAAGGGUUCCUGUCCAACGUUAAUCGGGGCAGGGUGAGUCGACCCCUAAGGCGAGGCCGAAAGGCGUAGUCGAUGGGAAACGGGUUAAUAUUCCCGUACUUGGUGUUACUGCGAAGGGGGGACGGAGAAGGCUAUGUUGGCCGGGCGACGGUUGUCCCGGUUUAAGCGUGUAGGUGUGUGUUCCAGGUAAAUCCGGUUCACUUUAACACUGAGGCGUGAUGACGAGGCACUACGGUGCUGAAGCAACAAAUGCCCUGCUUCCAGGAAAAGCCUCUAAGCAUCAGGUAACAUCAAAUCGUACCCCAAACCGACACAGGUGGUCAGGUAGAGAAUACCAAGGCGCUUGAGAGAACUCGGGUGAAGGAACUAGGCAAAAUGGUGCCGUAACUUCGGGAGAAGGCACGCUGACACGUAGGUGAAGUGAUUUACUCACGGAGCUGAAGUCAGUCGAAGAUACCAGCUGGCUGCAACUGUUUAUUAAAAACACAGCACUGUGCAAACACGAAAGUGGACGUAUACGGUGUGACGCCUGCCCGGUGCCGGAAGGUUAAUUGAUGGGGUCAGCGCAAGCGAAGCUCCUGAUCGAAGCCCCGGUAAACGGCGGCCGUAACUAUAACGGUCCUAAGGUAGCGAAAUUCCUUGUCGGGUAAGUUCCGACCUGCACGAAUGGCGUAAUGAUGGCCAGGCUGUCUCCACCCGAGACUCAGUGAAAUUGAACUCGCUGUGAAGAUGCAGUGUACCCGCGGCAAGACGGAAAGACCCCGUGAACCUUUACUAUAGCUUGACACUGAACAUUGAGCCUUGAUGUGUAGGAUAGGUGGGAGGCUUUGAAGCGUGGACGCCAGUCUGCGUGGAGCCGACCUUGAAAUACCACCCUUUAAUGUUUGAUGUUCUAACGUGGACCCGU